GAACUAUGCCUGCUCUUUUGUGGAUGGAUUCGCUUGCCUAGGUCUUGAUCGUGCUUUUGAAUUUACUAUGAACUAUGAACUAAGAAUUUAGAGCGAGUCUUGUUUUGAGCAUCUCAUUCUGGUGCUCGGCUUGGAUUGAAGUGUGUAACAACCCUGAAGAAUAAAGGGUAGAAGUCGUAGUAGUAUUAAUAGUUAGAUGUAGAAGAUGAGUAAAGGUAGCAGCUUUACUAGCUAGAAGAAGAAUAAGUGACAGCAGGGGGUGGUGAGGAGUGAGCUCGGCGGAGCGAUCCGACGGUAAGGCGCUCGAGCGGAACUCCGGCGGGAAGGCGCCUUCGAAGGN
rnacentral:lncRNA from 1 species